UGGGGAAUAUUGGACAAUGGGCGAAAGCCUGAUCCAGCCAUGCCGCGUGAGUGAUGAAGGCCUUAGGGUUGUAAAACUCUUCUGUCCGGGAAGAUAAUGACUGUACCGGAAGAAUAAGCACCGGCUAACUUCGUGCCAGCAGCCGCGGUAAUACGAAGGGGGCUAGCGUUGCUCGGAAUCACUGGGCGUAAAGGGCGCGUAGGCGGCCGAUCAAGUCAGGGGUGAAAGCCUGUGGCUCAACCACAGAAUUGCCUUUGAUACUGUUUGGCUAGAGACCGGAAGAGGUUAGUGGAACUGCGAGUGUAGAGGUGAAAUUCGUAGAUAUUCGCAAGAACACCAGUGGCGAAGGCGGCUAACUGGUCCGGUUCUGACGCUGAGGCGCGAAAGCGUGGGGAGCAAAC
rnacentral:rRNA from 1 species